rnacentral:ncRNA from 1 species
UGUCCCGAGGAGCCCAAAGCGUUUACUUUGAAAGAAUUAGAGUGUUCAAAACAGGCCCGAGCCGCUUAGAUACUGCAGUUAAGAAUAAUGGAAUAGGACCAUGGUUCUAUUUUGUUGGUUUUCAGAACUGAGGCCAUGAUUAAGAGAAAGGCCAAGGUGGUGGUUGCAGU